rnacentral:rRNA from 1 species
UACGAAGGGGGCUAGCGUUGCUCGGAAUCACUGGGCGUAAAGCGCACGUAGGCGGCUUGUUAAGUCAGGGGUGAAAUCCUGGAGCUCAACUCCAGAACUGCCUUUGAUACUGGCGAGCUUGAGUCCGGGAGAGGUGAGUGGAACUGCGAGUGUAGAGGUGAAAAUUCGUAGAUAUUCGCAAGAACACCAGUGGCGAAGGCGCUCACUGGCCCGGUACUGACGCUGAGGUGCGG